rnacentral:miRNA from 1 species
CAACUAAAUGUCAAACAUAUUCUU